CCUACGGGAGGCAGCAGUAGGGAAUCUUGCGCAAUGGGCGAAAGCCUGACGCAGCGACGCCGCGUGAGGGAAGAAGGCCUUCGGGUUGUAAACCUCUUUCAGGAGGGACGAAGCCACUCAGGUUAAUAGCCGAGAGGGUGACGGUACCUCCAGAAGAAGCCCCGGCUAACUACGUGCCAGCAGCCGCGGUAAUACGUAGGGGGCAAGCGUUGUCCGGAUUUAUUGGGCGUAAAGAGCGUGUAGGCGGCCGUACAGGUCAGCUGUGAAAACUCGAGGCUCAACCUCGAGACGUCGGUUGAAACCGUACGGCUAGAGUCCGGAAGAGGAGAGUGGAAUUCCCGGUGUAGCGGUGAAAUGCGCAGAUAUCGGGAAGAACACCCGUGGCGAAGGCGGCUCUCUGGGACGGUACUGACGCUGAGACGCGAAAGCGUGGGGAGCAA
rnacentral:rRNA from 1 species